rnacentral:rRNA from 1 species
GAUGAACGCUGGCGGCGUGCCUAAUACAUUCAAGUCGAGCGAACAGAUAAGGAGCUUGCUCCUUUGACGUUAGCGGCGGACGGGUGAGUAAUACGUGGGUAACCUACCUAUAAGACUGGGAUAACUUCGUGAAACCGGAGCUAAUACCGGAUAACAUUUGGAACCGCAUGGUUCUAAAGUGCAAGAUGGUUUUGCUAUCAUUUAUAGAUUUACCCGCGCCGUAUUAUCUAGUUGGUAAGUUAACGGCUUACUAAGGCAACGAUACGUAACCGACCUGAGAGGGUGAUCGGCAACAAUGGUACUGACAGGCUGUCCGGCCUCCUACGAGAAGCUGCAGUAGGGAAUCGUCCGGAUUGGGCGAUAGCCUGAAGGGAAAGCAAAGCGUGAGUGAUGAAGGUGUUCGGCUCGAAAAACUCAGUUAAUAGGGUAGAACAAAUAUGUAAAUAACUGUGCACGUCUUGACGGUACCUAAUCAGAAAGCCACGGCUAACUACAUG